UACGGAGGGAGCUAGCGUUGUUCGGAAUUACUGGGCGUAAAGCGCACGUAGGCGGCUUUGUAAGUUAGCGGUGAAAGCCCGGGGCUCAACUCCGGAACUGCCUUUAAGACUGCAUCGCUUGAAUCCGGGAGAGGUGAGUGGAAUUCCGAGUGUAGAGGUGAAAUUCGUAGAUAUUCGGAAGAACACCAGUGGCGAAGGCGGCUCACUGGACCGGUAUUGACGCUGAGGUGCGAAAGCGUGGGGAGCAAACAGG
rnacentral:rRNA from 1 species